GAAUUUUUGAAGGUCAGGUAGAGGGAUAAGUCUUCACAUAUAUUCUCACUUAAAAGAUAUUUAAAGAUAAUUCACCCAGAUAGCAUUUCUUUCAUGACCUUUGAGCUUCCAAAAGACAAUUCUAGUAAGUAGAUCCUUGAUGAAAAGUCAGUUGCGUGUGCAUGAACGUGUGGACAACUUAUGUCUCUGACAUGUGAGACUUUUAUUUGAUGCUUGGGAAGACUUCCUCUCACAUGGGUUGAAUCUGGUCUCUCUGUGCCUCCUCAUAUUCCACUCAGUGCAAUAAUUAUCACGGGAUGUUAGCAGUGGUGUUUCUCAUUAAAUUUUAAAACUUAAUUAGAACUUGAUGUCUUUGAAAGCUAAUUUCUUAUAUUUAAAGUCCCAGAUCCUGCUUUUAUAACUGAUUUUUGGCAAGCCGGUUGCAUGUGGCAGUACAUUUGAUGGCUGCUUUGGUCGGUUUGUCACUUUUGGGAUUAGCCAACAAGUCCCCUGAUUCUCUGAAUUGAAAACAGAGAUUAUAUCUGGGCAGUUACUUUACCAAAAAUGAGGAGAAAUAGCCAGACAUAAAAUUCAAAAUGAUGUAUGGUUGUGUGUGUAUGUGGAAUGGCACUAGUCUGGCUUUUCUGUGCAGUGUUUCUAAGCAUCAAAAACGGUUCUUCAAAGAGAAUGCUGGUGUCUGAUGACUAGUGUUGCUGGUUCCUCUCUAGCUCAUCUCUAGACCAAACAGAAACACACAUCUUCUCUGCCAAGUAUUCUGUGAUGUCACAGGCAGGCCCUCCAGCACUCAGGCGGCUUUUCCUUACGCUUUUCCUUUUCUGGCUGUAGGAGAUUUAACCUCUUCCUCAACUGUUCUACCCACGCCCCCUGACCCCUUUUCAGUUGGAGGAUAUAUACUAUUAUUUUAGGAUGUUUAGUAGUGUUAAUUCUUGUUAAAACAUAGAUUUUAUUUUUUAGAGCAGGUUUGGGUUUCACAGCAAAAUUAAGCAGUAAGUACAAAGUUCCUUCUACUUCCAGCUCCCUACCUGCACAGCCUCACCUGCUCUUAACAUCUGGAACCAGAGUGGUACAUUUGGUACAAUCCCUUAACCAGAAGUGACACAUUUUGUCAUUCAAAGUCCACAGUUUUUUGUAUUAGGGUUCACUCUUGGUAUUUUACAUUCCGUGGGUUUUGACAAAUAUUUAAUGGCAUGUGUCUACCAUUAUAGUAUCUCACAGAGUAGUUUCACUUCCCUAAAAAUCCUCUGUGCUUUACCCAGUCAACCCUCAUCCCUAACUUCUGGCAACCACUGGUCUUUUUAUUACCUCUAGAGUUUUUCCCUUCUCUGGAAUGUCAUAUAGUUGGAUAGAUUCUUUUUCAAAGGGAUAUGAUAGGAUAAGAGAAUGUUGGAACUUUAAGGGAUCUUAGUUACCAUUCUGUGGCCUGUUCAUGCUUACCAAGGUUCCACACUUUUCGGAGCUCCUUUGUGUCACAGGGGGUUAAGGAUCCAGCAUUGUCACUGCAAUGGCUUGGGUUGCUGUGGUGCGUAUUUGACCCCUGACCCAGGAACUUCCCCAUGCCUCAGGUGUGGCCAAGAACAAAGUUUUACAAGCAAAAGAGUACUUCAACAUUUUUAAAAUCAAAUAUUUCUGGAGAAGGAUUAAAAAAAAAAAAAAGGUCAGGGAGUUCCCGUCGUGGCGUCGUGGUUAACGAAUGCGACUAGGAACCAUGAGGUUGCAGAGUUGAUCCCUGGCCUUGCUCAGAGGGUUAAGGAUCCGGUGUUGCCUCGAGCUGUGGUGUAGGUCGCAGACUCGGCUCAGAUCCCCCAUUGCUGUGGCUCUGGUGUAAACUGGUGGCUGUAGCUCUGAUUAGACCCCUAGCCUGGGAACCUCCGUAUGCUGCGAGAGCAGCCCUAGAAAAGGCAAAAAAGACAAAAAAAAAAAAAAAAAA
ensembl:lncRNA